rnacentral:rRNA from 1 species
ACGCUCGACACCUACGGGAGACAGCAGUGGGGAAUAUUGCACAAUGGGGGAAACCCUGAUGCAGCGACGCCGCGUGAGCGAAGAAGUAUUUCGGUAUGUAAAGCUCUAUCAGCAGGGAAGAAACUGACGGUACCUGACUAAGAAGCACCGGCUAAAUACGUACCAGCAGCCGCGGUAAUCUGAGCGGGCGUGGCAAGGC